rnacentral:lncRNA from 1 species
GAGCGCGGGAGACCGGACCCGAGAGCAGAGCUGCUGUUUCGGCGCGGGUCGGCUGGCGGCCGACUGCCCCAGAGCCCCCACCCGGCACCACACAGACCCCACCCCCGCCCUGCGCCAGCCUUCGUCCCCGCAGAGGACCCCCCGACACCAGCAUGGACUGCUGCACCGAGAACGCCUGCUCCAAGCCGGACGACGACAUUCUAGACAUCCCGCUGGACGAUCCCGGCGCCAACGCGGCCGCCGCCAAAAUCCAGGCGAGUUUUCGGGGCCACAUGGCGCGGAAGAAGAUAAAGAGCGGAGAGCGCGGCCGGAAGGGCCCGGGCCCUGGGGGGCCUGGCGGAGCUGGGGUGGCCCGGGGAGGCGCGGGCGGCGGCCCCAGCGGAGACUAGGCCAGAAGAACUGAGCAUUUUCAAAGGUAAUGAACACGGCCCCUAGGCGGCGGGGUGGGACCCGUGAGUGGGAGAAAAGGAUCGAAUCCCCAGCCCUUCCCUCUGCCCACCCUCACCCCUCCCAGCCGGGGAAAAUGCACCCUGCCCCUGCGGGUUUUCUGAUACAUCCAGACGCCCGAGGCUGCGACGGGGACAUACCUGGACCAAGACAUGCGCAGCCACCCCAUUUGGCUGCACAAGCCCGGCCAAGGGGCAGAAAUACAUCGCGGCGCGCACACGUACCUGCCGCGGGGCUCAUUUCAGCGCUUUGACUCGGGGUGGGGGUUCUGGGUGACUGGGGCCCUCUGGCACUCACCGCCCAAAGAAUCCUGGUACUGAAAGGGGGAAGGGUGGGGGGAAGAGGAAGUAGCAGAAGAGGGCAGGUUCUCAGACCUUUUCUCUCCUCAGUUCCCGAGGAGAGAUGGAUGCCGCGUCCCCUUCGCAGCGACGAGACUUCCCUGCCGUGUUUGUGACCCCCUCCUGCCCAGCAACCUGCCAGCUACAGGAGCCCCCUGCGUCCCAGAGACUCCCUCACCCAGGCAGGCUCCGUCGCGGAGUCGCUGAGUCCGUGCCCUUUUAGUUAGUUCUGCAGUCUAGUAUGGUCCCCAUUUGCCCUUCCACUCCACCCCACCCUAAACCAUGCGCUCCCAAUCUUCCUUCUUUUGCUUCUCGCCCACCUCUUCCCGCACCCAGCAUGCAGCUCUGCCUCCGCAGCCUCAGUGCGCUUUCCUGCGCGCACUGCGGAGGGCGCCCUAAGCGUCACCCAAGCACACUCACUUAAAGAAAAAACGAGUUCUUUCGUUCUGUGCGCAGCUAAAAGGGGCGCCCUACAUCUCCGUGCCACUCCCGCCCCAGCCUAGCCCCAAGACUUUGGAUCCGGGGCGAGAUGAAGGGAAGAGGGUUGUUUUGGUUUCGGACGACCCUUGCUCUGACCGGAAGAGAAGUCCCUAUCCCACACCUGCCUGUCACGUUCCCUCCCCUUUCCCCAGCGCACUGUUGAGGGCAGCCUCUCCAGCUCUCUUGUUUAUGCAAACGCCGAGCGCCUGGGAGGCUCGGUAGGAGGAGUCUUCCACGGCCCCGCCCCGCCCCUGUCGGUCCCGCCCUCCCCCCCGCCGGGCUCCUGGGGCUGUGGCCGAAAGGUUUCUGAUCUCCGUGUGUGCAUGUGACUGUGCUGGGUUGGAAUGUGAACAAUAAAGAGGAAUGUCCAAGUG